CAGCUGCCUUGCUCUCAUCCUGAUGGUAGCUUUCAGCUGCUUUGCACACUAAGGUCCCUGGAUGUGGUGAUACAGUACAAUUCAGAAGAAAUGACUGAAAAAGAAAAGGCAUGUUGCUACCCAAAAAGGUCACAGAGGGAAAAUGAAACAGUGCUGUGCCAUGUACUGGUGUUCCUGAGACUAAAACUCUAGAGAGCAGAAGAUGGAGCUUUCUUGGCAGCUAACUCAUACCUGCAGAAAUCCCUCAUUGCAUGUGGUGAGAGGUGUGAAAACUACAGCUACUUUCAAAGUCAAGCGCUCCUGAAAUUUGAAUGUUCACAUUCACUGCCAUUUAGGGGCUGAAGGAAGUGGGGCUAUUCAGGCUAAAGAAGACAUCCCAGUGGUCUUCACAUCCUUAAAGGCUGCUUCUGAGAGGAAGGUAAUAAUCAUCCCCAUGCUGAGCAAAAAGAAGUAUAGACUGGAAUUGCAGAGAGGCAGACUGAGGUUAGACAUAAGCACAAACUCAAAAUAAGGAGAGUGAAGGAGUAGCUAUGAAUAUUGUGAAAUUUCCAUCACUGAAGAUGUUUAAAAGUGAGUUACACGAAUCUCUGCUGUAAGAAUAUAGCUGUAGACUUGCUGGGUGGAAUUUGGAAUUGACUAGCUGACCUCUUGGUUUAUGGAAUCAGAGAAGCAUAGAAUCGUAGAGUGGUUGGGGUUGGAAAGGACCUUAAGCUCAUCCAGUU